UACGGAGGGUGCAAGCGUUAUCCGGAUUCACUGGGUUUAAAGGGUGCGUAGGUGGGCAAGUAAGUCAGUGGUGAAAUCUCCGGGCUUAACCCGGAAACUGCCAUUGAUACUAUUUGUCUUGAAUACUGUGGAGGUCAGCGGAAUAUGUCAUGUAGCGGUGAAAUGCUUAGAUAUGACAUAGAACACCAAUUGCGAAGGCAGCUUACUACACAGUCAUUGACACUGAGGCACGAAAGCGUGGGGAUCAAACAGG
rnacentral:rRNA from 1 species